GAUGAACGCUGGCGGCGUGCCUAAUACAUGCAAGUCGAGCGAACAGACGAGGAGCUUGCUCCUCUGACGUUAGCGGCGGACGGGUGAGUAACACGGGGAUAACCUACCUAUAAGACUGGGAUAACUGCGGGAAACCGGAGCUAAUACCGGAUAAUAUAUUGAACCGCAUGGUUCAAUAGUGAAAGACGGUUUUGCUGUCACUUACAGAUGGAUCCGCGCCGCAUUAGGUAGUUGGUAAGGUAACGGCUUACCAAGGCAACGAUGCGUAGCCGACCGGAGAGGGUGAUCGGCCACACUGGAACUGAGACACGGUCCAGACUCCUACGGGAGGCAGCAGUAGGGAAUCUUCCGCAAUGGGCGAAAGCCUGACGGAGCAACGCGGCGUGAGUGAUGAAGGUCUUCGGAUCGUAAAACUCUGUUAUUAGGGAAGAACAAAUGUGUAAGUAACUAUGCACGUCUUGACGGUACCUAAUCAGAAAGCCACGGCUAACUACGUG
rnacentral:rRNA from 1 species